CAAAUGGUUGUUGGAGGUUCAAAUCGGAUCAACCAAAGAUGAGACCGGUUGGUCGAUAUGGUCUGAAAUCGAUUGUAAAUCCUGAAACAAAUGAAAGAUGAAUGAGAUACGAAUGCUAUGAAGAAUAAACUAAGAUAAAUAAACAAAGAAAAAUGAUAGAUAUGGCGGAAUCAAGCUGCUGGAUGUGUAUCACUCUCAGCUUGAUCAAAAGAUGGAUUGAAGUGGAUUUGCGGAUGAGGUUUUGAUUGAAUCUCUCAAUCUGAUGAAGGAUGGAUCGAAUUGAUUGACUCUCUCAAUCUGUGUACUGAGCUUAUUUGAUUUGCACAAAUAAACUAGACUCACGAAAUCAAUAGAACAACAAAGAAUCUCUCUUUGAAUCCUAAAGACCGAUAUUUUAUACAAAGAACAAUCUUUGAUAAAAACUGAAUAACUUUUUAUUAACUUGGUGAUUAAGGGUGAUCUUUACAAUGGACGUCUAGGAGCUUAUAUAAUGCUCAGAGACAAAGGUCCUAACGUUCUAAAACAAAUAGAAAAGUAAACAAAUCAAAACUAAGAAAGAAAUCAAAAACUAGCCGUUGGAGCCUUUUGUGUGAUUUUGGCUCCAAGUAAAGAAUCUGAUCUUUCUUGAACCUGGAUGGUUUAAGGGGAUAAGAGAGCUUUCUUGGGACCUUCUUGAAUGCUUGAUAGAUGCUUAUCUCGUCCUUGCCUUGGUAGAAAAAGAGCUGUUGGAGUUUGAAUGCAAGAGACUCCAAAUAAGGCAGUUCGGUGAUAAUGGGGAUCUUCUUAUUCCUAUGUGGGCUGGUGCAUGGGAUGAAGUUGUAGAACUCUUCUGGCUCGUGUAUAAUGUCUCCUGGAUGUCUUGGUUUAGUCUGGAUGUCGUCUGGUUCUCCUGGUUGGAUUGGAAUUGCUUGGAAGGGAUCAAACCGAAAGAUUGUCCAAUCUUUCCAUAAAUAGCUCCGGUUUGAUUUAAGUGAUUCUCCAUUGAACCGACUGAUCUCCUGGGUUCUGGUGCAUCUAAGGACUUCUGGAAUACCUCCUGAUUGGUUAAGAUGAUCUCCUGGUUCCCAUAAAUAGCUCUGGGUCGAACCAAGUUGAAUUAGUUGAAGACUUUCCAUAGAUGACGUCGGUUUGGCCUGUUCUGGGGAAUUGAUCAUAACUCCUAAUUUCCGUGGCCAUUUCUCCUGAUCUUGGGUUUUCUGGAAAGCUGAUAAACUCAUAUUGACUCCUAUGAUGGGCUUUGCUUCAGGACGCUCCUUAAUUGAGCUUGAAUCUUCUUCUAAAGUCGGGUACUCGCAGAUGGACGGGUUGAGAAACCUCUGAAUUGUAAAAUUCAUAACUUCUUGCUCCGUGAAUAUAUUGGCCCAAUUACAAUUGUCCUGGACUCAUUCUUGAGUGUAGAAUCCAUAAAAAUUAGACUCGUGAUUUAAACCCUCCUGGUUUGUAAGAUAUGGUAUUUUUAGUGCACGUAUAUCCUGGUUGGCGCCUUGGCUGGUUGAGUAGGGCUUUGGGUUGACCUCUGGUACAGUUGCUGAUCUGAUGACCGCAUCAUACCCUCCCCCUUGACAAAGUUUCGACCUCGAAACUGGAUAACCUGCACCAAGAUAGAGCAAGUCAGCUUUCAUACUCUUUUGAGAUUCUAAGGUCUUACCUUGAUAUUGUUUCGGUUUGGGGAUGGAUUGUGCAUCAGGUGGUUCUUCUUUGGACAGAUAUGAAAGGACCACGCCUCUUCUAUGGUUUUGGACAUUGCAUCUCUUCUAGAGUGGAUGGCCCUUCAAAGUUUUGGUGGUCUCGUUUCUGGUCUCCCUUAGAGUUGAAUCUCCUAGCAACAAAAGAUUAUUCGGUGGGAUUUCUUUGAAGCUUUCUUUUUUGCAACCUGAAAAAUUCUCAACUUUCUGGACAAAAAGCAAGUGCAUCAUAUCUGUGUUUGGACACUGAUAAAAAUAAUUUGAAAUUUCCAGACUUACUUUGAUAGCUUCCACAAGUUGAAGAAUGAUUUUCUUCUUUGGACAACUUGUUUUUGUUUGCUGCCUUCUUUGCAACUUUUGACCUUGGUUGUUAUGAACUACUUCUUGUCUUAUUCCUGGAUCAAAACUUUUUGGCAAAGACAAGUGCAUUAUACCUGUAUAAUCAAGUGUCUUGGACGUUUUAAGAUCAGAGAAACUUACCUUAAGCCUUGGCAUUUGAACAACACUUAGUUCAAUUUUAGGCUUCCACUUGUGAGUUGGUUCAUGGCUGAGCUUAUGGUUUGGUUCCUUCCUUGGAACUUCAGUAAGCAUAUAGCUUUCACUUUUACUCCCUAUAUCAAGAACACACACGUCAGUGAUAGUAUCUCUAGGUGGUGUUAGACACUUACCUUGGUGAGAUACUUUUAUGAUCGGUUUUGCUUCUUUAAGCAAGAUCGACUGCUUGGUGUCUUGAAUCAUCUUCUGGUCGACCACGUGGGUUACUACUGAUGGCUCUCCUUCUCUUGGUUCCUCAAGACCUGUUACAAGACACUUUGACAGAGACAAGUGCAUCAUACAAGAAUUUUGAACCAAUAGUUCAGAUUGAACAAAACUGUCACUUAUCAUAGGUAAAUCUGUUUUCUUUUCUAGUGAUGUUUCUAUCAAUACUUGCUUACUAGGACAAACUACAGCAUAGUGUCCUUUCUUAUGACAUCUAUAACAUGUCUGAUAUUUUAAAUCCUCAGAGUUAGAAGACUUACAUUGGUUUGAUGGCCCUUCUUUCUUUGGGUUUAAAAUCUCCUUGUCUCUUGGAAUUAAAUCAUGGACAACUUUUGAUCUCAACAAGGAUGUGGAGAUCGUGUCUUCCUGGACCUCAGGACCUGUCUUAACACCCUUGGACAAAGACAAGUGACUCAUACCAGUGGGAGAUGAUUUAUAAACACAUUUAUCAAGUAUAGGACUUACCUUGGCCUUUUCUUGAAAAAUCGGUUUGUCUGAUUUUUCUUUGUGUCUGGCCAAUGUGUCUUGGCUGACAAAGUUCUUCUUCUCCAUGGCCUUUGGGACCUCAUAAGGCUGGUAUUGAUCAUAUAAAACCGUGGACCUCUUGUUUGGCCGAAUCUGGUCUUGGUGGAUUAAGCUUCUAUGGCUUUGUUGUGGCACCAUUCUCUUUGCCUCUUUAGAACCAUGAGUUGGAUACCUCCUUGGAUAAAGUUCCUGGAUUUCAGAACUUGUAAAACCUGGUGCAAACUCAUAUCUCAUGACUUCCUUAAGAGCUCUCCAUGUUUUGAUAGUUGGCUCCUUGUAAAACCACCUAUCAUCUUCUUCUUGUACCCACCAUUUAAAGGCAUCAUCUUUUAGUUGAUCAAUGGCAUAAAACAACCUCUCCUUUUUCUGGAUGUUGUUGUAGUGAAACCACUCAUCAAGGUUUCUUUCCCAUCUAAGAUAACCUCUUUUUCCUGAAAAUUUAAAGAGUUCAAUUUUAUCAGCAAAAGAGUUAUAAUCAAACCGAGGAUUAACAACAUGAUUGUUGUGGGUUUUAGAAGUUGGAGUUUGAUUGAUCUUUGAAGGAUCUGGUGGCUUGGGAUCGACAUAUAUAGCCCCUGGUACAUCUCCAAAUCUUGUUUUUCCUUGCUGUGGUCGUUGGCCUUGUGCCUGAUUUCAUUUAUCCAAUUGAGCAAUCUUAAUUUGGAGCUUUUGUAGAGCUGCGGUCUGUUGGCUCAAGGUGGCCCUUAGGUUUUGGCCAUGUCUCUCCUCCUCCAUUGCUUCCUGAAAACAAUCUCAAAGAACAAGUGAAAGUAUGGAAAGUUUUGGUCGAACCAAAAUAAAACAAGUGCAAGAAUGCAAUUUAACUAAACCGAGAAAAUAUGCAAUUAUGAACCGAAAUGAAGUAAAUAUACUAAAAUGAUUUUUCUCUUUUGGUUUUCUGAAUGCAAUCUCGAAAUUAAACAAUAUGGUAUGAUAAGAAACACAAAGGGAAAGAAAAUAUGAAAAUUAAACUAAGCCUGAUUUUUUUUUUUGAAUUUUCUUAAGAUGCAACAAUUAAACCACAAUAUGCAAAUGAUAUGAACUAUGCUCUAAAUAAUUUUUUUUUUAAUUUUUUUUCUUGAUGCAAGCACGAAAUAAAUCAGUAUGGGAUGCUAUGAACAAUAAAUGGAAAGACUUAUGGAAACAAACUAACAAGGAUAUUUUUUUUGAAUUUUCUUAUGCAAGAAACAAAUAUGGAAAUGCAGAUUUUUUUUUUUUUAAAUGAAUGCACAAAAUCUAAAUAUGGCAAGUGGAGCUGGGGAAUGAAUGCAAACAACUAGACAAGUAUUUCAAAAGAAUUUCGUGGAUCAAACUAGACAACUUCUUCUUCUUUAGUUUUAUUUUCUUAAGAACAACAAUAACAAUGCAAAAACGGUUUUUUUUUUUUUUUUAAAUGAAAACAAAUGCAAACAAAUAUGAAUGUUGCAAGGAUAGAAUGGACCUGAUUCAGGAGCUUGAGCUCUGAUACCAAAUGUUGCAGGCUGGAAGCUGGGUCGCCCAAAUGGUUGUUGGAGGUUCAAAUCGGAUCAACCAAAGAUGAGACCGGUUGGUCGAUAUGGUCUGAAAUCGAUUGUAAAUCCUGAAACAAAUGAAAGAUGAAUGAGAUACGAAUGCUAUGAAGAAUAAACUAAGAUAAAUAAACAAAGAAAAAUGAUAGAUAUGGCGGAAUCAAGCUGCUGGAUGUGUAUCACUCUCAGCUUGAUCAAAAGAUGGAUUGAAGUGGAUUUGCGGAUGAGGUUUUGAUUGAAUCUCUCAAUCUGAUGAAGGAUGGAUCGAAUUGAUUGACUCUCUCAAUCUGUGUACUG
rnacentral:lncRNA from 1 species